ACCUAUGGCCAUACCACCCUGAAUGUGCCCAUCUCAUCUGAUCUGGGAAGCUAAGCAGGGUUGGUCCUGGUUAGUACUUGGAAGGGAGACUGCCUGGGAAUACCAAUUGCUGUAGGCU
ensembl:rRNA 5S_rRNA 5S ribosomal RNA